AGUUUUGUGCAGUGGCAGUAUCAUAGCCAAUGAGAUUUGUCCAACGUACAAUUAUUGCUAAUUGAAAACGUUUCAGGCCAAGCGCGGUGGCUCACGCCUAUAAUCCCAGCACUUUGGGAGGCCGAGACAGGC
ensembl:snRNA U4 U4 spliceosomal RNA